rnacentral:rRNA from 1 species
AUUGAACGCUGGCGGCAGGCCUAACACAUGCAAGUCGAGCGGUAGCACAGAGAGCUUGCUCUCGGGUGACGAGCGGCGGACGGGUGAGUAAUGUCUGGGAAACUGCCUGAUGGAGGGGGAUAACUACUGGAAACGGUAGCUAAUACCGCAUAACGUCGCAAGACCAAAGUGGGGGACCUUCGGGCCUCAUGCCAUCAGAUGUGCCCAGAUGGGAUUAGCUAGUAGGUGGGGUAACGGCUCACCUAGGCGACGAUCCCUAGCUGGUCUGAGAGGAUGACCAGCCACACUGGAACUGAGACACGGUCCAGACUCCUACGGGAGGCAGCAGUGGGGAAUAUUGCACAAUGGGCGCAAGCCUGAUGCAGCCAUGCCGCGUGUGUGAAGAAGGCCUUCGGGUUGUAAAGCACUUUCAGCGGGGAGGAAGGCGGUGAGGUUAAUAACCUCACCGAUUGACGUUACCCGCAGAAGAAGCACCGGCUAACUCCGUGCCAGCAGCCGCGGUAAUACGGAGGGUGCAAGCGUUAAUCGGAAUUACUGGGCGUAAAGCGCACGCAGGCGGUCUGUCAAGUCGGAUGUGAAAUCCCCGGGCUCAACCUGGGAACUGCAUUCGAAACUGGCAGGCUAGAGUCUUGUAGAGGGGGGUAGAAUUCCAGGUGUAGCGGUGAAAUGCGUAGAGAUCUGGAGGAAUACCGGUGGCGAAGGCGGCCCCCUGGACAAAGACUGACGCUCAGGUGCGAAAGCGUGGGGAGCAAACAGGAUUAGAUACCCUGGUAGUCCACGCUGUAAACGAUGUCGAUUUGGAGGUUGUGCCCUUGAGGCGUGGCUUCCGGAGCUAACGCGUUAAAUCGACCGCCUGGGGAGUACGGCCGCAAGGUUAAAACUCAAAUGAAUUGACGGGGGCCCGCACAAGCGGUGGAGCAUGUGGUUUAAUUCGAUGCAACGCGAAGAACCUUACCUGGUCUUGACAUCCACAGAACUUUCCAGAGAUGGAUUGGUGCCUUCGGGAACUGUGAGACAGGUGCUGCAUGGCUGUCGUCAGCUCGUGUUGUGAAAUGUUGGGUUAAGCCCCGCAACGAGCGCAACCCUUAUCCUUUGUUGCCAGCGGUUAGGCCGGGAACUCAAAGGAGACUGCCAGUGAUAAACUGGAGGAAGGUGGGGAUGACGUCAAGUCAUCAUGGCCCUUACGACCAGGGCUACACACGUGCUACAAUGGCAUAUACAAAGAGAAGCGACCUCGCGAGAGCAAGCGGACCUCAUAAAGUAUGUCGUAGUCCGGAUUGGAGUCUGCAACUCGACUCCAUGAAGUCGGAAUCGCUAGUAAUCGUAGAUCAGAAUGCUACGGUGAAUACGUUCCCGGGCCU